AGAGUUUGAUCCUGGCUCAGGAUGAACGCUGGCGGCGUGCCUAACACAUGCAAGUUGAGCGAUUUACUUCGGUAAAGAGCGGCGGACGGGUGAGUAACGCGUGGGUAACCUACCCUGUACACACGGAUAACAUACCGAAAGGUAUGCUAAUACGGGAUAAUAUAUUUGAGAGGCAUCUCUUAAAUAUCAAAGGUGAGCCAGUACAGGAUGGACCCGCGUCUGAUUAGCUAGUUGGUAAGGUAACGGCUUACCAAGGCGACGAUCAGUAGCCGACCUGAGAGGGUGAUCGGCCACAUUGGAACUGAGACACGGUCCAAACUCCUACGGGAGGCAGCAGUGGGGAAUAUUGCACAAUGGGCGAAAGCCUGAUGCAGCAACGCCGCGUGAGUGAUGAAGGCCUUCGGGUCGUAAAACUCUGUCCUCAAGGAAGAUAAUGACGGUACUUGAGGAGGAAGCCCCGGCUAACUACGUGCCAGCAGCCGCGGUAAUACGUAGGGGGCUAGCGUUAUCCGGAUUUACUGGGCGUAAAGGGUGCGUAGGCGGUCUUUCAAGUCAGGAGUGAAAGGCUACGGCUCAACCGUAGUAAGCUCUUGAAACUGGGAGACUUGAGUGCAGGAGAGGAGAGUGGAAUUCCUAGUGUAGCGGUGAAAUGCGUAGAUAUUAGGAGGAACACCAGUUGCGAAGGCGGCUCUCUGGACUGUAACUGACGCUGAGGCACGAAAGCGUGGGGAGCAAACAGGAUUAGAUACCCUGGUAGUCCACGCUGUAAACGAUGAGUACUAGGUCUGUCUCUUAUACACAUCU
rnacentral:rRNA from 1 species